ensembl:lncRNA
CAGAACAAGGCAAAGGCUGAUUACGAGAGCAAAAUGUGUAGCGCCCAGUGUCCACAGGUGUGUUUACAGAACUGCUGCUGUGAUUACCGUCAUUGUUAAUGAGCUAUCAUGGGAAUGUUUGUUUUCAUGAACUGUGGCCCAGUUUACAUCGAACUUUUUGUUGACUUCUGCUUGGUUACCAGAGUGCCACUGUCCAGGCCUGUCCCUAACAUUUGUGGGGCCUACAUCAAUAAUGCAAAUAGAGGCCCACAUACUUUAACAUCAUAAAUUCAGCCCACCACCAAUUUUAGGAGCAAUGUGAAUUAUUUAAUUUGAAAAUCUUCCUCACACCGUAUACAACUGUUAUGAACACAGCACUAUAUAAUGAGAGCCUCUGGAGACACACACUGGAACAUGAAGAGAAGUUAGGAAGCGAGUGCUCAGUAUGACUGGGGAAGUACAUUCUGUUACGUCAUGCCAGGCCACCUAUUGCAUUCAUGCUGAGAGGAAGGACUGGGCAAAUUAAUUUGUCUUUUCUUGAUCUAAGCACUUCCAACUCCAACUAUGCACACUGCUCCUCUCCAAUGCUACGCCUUCACAGCAUUCAGACAGCUGGCUUUGUUGUGAGGACACAGAGCAAAAAAGCUCCAGAGGUCUGUUUCCAUGGUUACCCAAAUUCCAGGCACUGGCCCCAGGCCCACCACAACGCAUCCCUCAAAGUCUCUUUGGCAGAGGAAAAACAUUUCUCCUUGCUGCGGCAAGUCAGAGCCAGAAUCUCGGGCUCUCCUGUUUCCAAAGCCCCCACUACACCCUCAUUCGUGUGUGAUUUGCAUGUUUAGGUGGUUCUGCUCAGCGUCGUUUUUUGGCAGGGGGGUGAAUAAGCACAAUAUAAGAGUUUCCUUCAUUUCUCUUCUCCUCAUUUGAGCUAAGGAAUUACUUUCUUGUACCAAACAUUACACCCUUGGAAAACACUCCAGAUGGUUCUCAUUAAAAUUCCAAUUCCUUUUUUUUUUUGCAAUUCAUUUUUCCCCAUUCUCCCCAAACUACUAUCUCAAAAAUAAACACCAGCCUGAAGAGCAAGUGAGGGGUCUGUGAAUAGCAGCUCCAGCGAAUGGACUCUGUCAGAGACCCGUGGUGUGGCCCUGAAGGGGCCUGCAGCUUCUCUUCUUGCCAAGGGUCACUUGGCCCUUCAUAGGGAUGCCAGGGGUAGCAGCCCCGUGGCUUCAUCACCGGAGAGAGUCCAAACACACAUGGGGGGCAUGUUUAUAGGGAUGAACAUGAACACACAGGGAUGCCGAGUGCAGCAACCCUGGGCACUGUCACCAGGGAGCGUCCAAACACAUGUAGGGGGGCAUGUUCGAUGGCAAAGGUGCCUUAAAGGGGCCAUGGGCUCUGCUGCCUCUGCAGGAAGAGGGGCAGAGGGCCAGCUAGGCCUCUGUUCCCCAACAGGCUGGGCCCAGACCAUGCCUUGCAGAGGGGCUGUCCACCUUGUUUAGUGUACAGGGAGGCCUCUGCAGAUUUCUAAAGACACUGGCCACAGGAGCGAGGCGAUACUUACUCUAACAAGCGUACAAGGAGAGAUUGCCAAUGCCUUUUGGCCAUAACUGAAGAUGAGCAAGUCACAGGCUUUGCUCCCACAUCUGGAAAAAUCUGCAUGCACAGGAAAAGAAUGUGUGUGUCCAAUGAUGUGUAUUUGAUGUGUUUUUAUUUCUAACUUUGUUAUGAAAAAUUUUAAAAGUACAGAAAAGUUGUAAGAAUGGUACAAUGAACAGCCAUAUCACUCCACUUAGAUCCAACGAAUGUUCCAUUUUGUCAUUUUUCCUUUCCCUCUCUCUCUUUCUAGAUACAUGGAGAGAUAAAUACAUACCCUUUGCUUAGACAUUUGAAAGUUGGGAUCUUGUCCCUAUAGCAUUUUAUAACCUAGUAAUCUAUGCAUUAAUGAAAUCAUAUAAUGCAGUCAUGCACUUCAUGACAAUGUUUUGGUAAACGAUAGACUACAUAUACAAUGGUGGUCCCAUAAGAUUAUAAUACCAGGUCAGGUGUGGUGGCUCCUGCCUGUCAUCUCAGCAUUUUGGGAUGCCAAGGUGGGUGGAUCACCUGAGGUCAGGAGUUCGAGACCAGCCUGGCCAACAUGAUGAAACCCUGUCUUGACUAAAAAAAAAAAAAUACAAAAAUUAGCUGGAUGCAAUGGUGUGCACCUGUAAUCACAGCUACUUGGGAGGCUGAGGCACGAGAAUCGCUUGCACCCAGGAGGUGGAGGUUGCACUGAGCCGAGAUCACACCACUGCACUCCAGCCUGGGCGACAGAGUGAGACUAAGUCUCCAAAAAAAAAAAAAAUUAGAAUACCAUAUUUUUACUGUAUCUUUUUAUGUUUAGAUAUAUUUAGGUACACAAGUAAUUACCACUGUGCUACAAUUGCCUACAGUAUUCAGUACAGUAACAUGCUGUGCAGGUUUGUGGCCUCGGAGCAAGAGGCUAUCCCAUAGAGCCUAGGUGUGCAGUAGGCUCUAGCACCUGGGUUUAUGUAACUGUGCUGUGUGAUGUUUGCACAACAACAAAAUCACUUAAUAAUGCAAAUGCAUUUCUCAGAACAUAUCCAUGUCAUUAAGUGACACAUGACUGUAUAUGAAUAUAUUCUUAUUGUAAAAUAUUCAGACAUCUGAAUAGUACAGACACAUAGAGUAUAAGCAAAACCCAGGCAUGAACCCCUCCUCAUCUCACCUUCCCCACUCCCCAGGGCUGCUUGGCUUGUGUCUCUCAUGAACUGUGAGUUUAUUUAGACAUACGUGUGUUUAGACAGAAAUAUAUAUUUUUGUGACAUGUGUUUUUAAACAUAAAUGAUAUAAUACUAUGCGUGCUGUUUUGCAGCUUAUUUUUCACUUGGAAAUGUGUCUGGGAUCUUUCCAUAUUAGUAUUUGGAGCUCUGCCUCGUUCUUUGACUACUGCAGAACAUGCCAAAGCAUGGUUGUAUAAUAAUUUCUUAAAUAUUCCCUCUUGAUGGGCAUUUCAGCUACUUAGUAUUAUUUUUCCAUUACUCACAGUGAUGCAUUUAAUAUCCUUGAGAAAUGUUGCCUUAAGGACAUGUACCAAUAUGUCUCUUUGACAGAUACCUAGAGGUGGGAUUACUGGGUUGGAUGAGAGGCACAUUUUACACUUGGA